rnacentral:rRNA from 1 species
AUGUCGGGAGGAGGAGGAGGCUCGAGGCCCGACGCCGCCGCGGGGGGCUUCCCCGCGAGGGGGGCGCCGGGGGCCGCGACGGAGCCGCCGUCGCUCGCGCAGUACAUCUCGCUGGAUCAGUUCCCCGUCGGCGAGCACCGGCACUCGCGCUCCGCGGAGCUGCGGCGGGCGCUCGCCGACUCGGCGGAGCAGCCGCUCGCCGCGCUGGCGCAGGGCAAGCCGCUCCCCCCCGCGGCCGCCGAGGAGCUCCGUCGGAUCCGGGGCGGCGUCGCGGAGUCGUCGGCCAGGGCCAAGGACAGGGUGAAGUCGCUGCAGGAGUCCAUCCAGAAGCUGGACAAGUACAAGAACGUCGUCACGCGGCGCCGGCAGAGGAGUGACGGCGCGUCGGUGGAUAGGUCGUCGGGGAGCGUUGGCGGCUCUCUUAGGAUCGGGGCUCAGAACAGCGGGGAUAACCCCGUCCAGAGGCUCGAGGAGAGGGCUAAGAGCUCGACCAUGAGCAAGCGUGUCCGGUCAUCGCUGGCGGCAGAUGCACGGUUGGAAGGGCGUGUUAGUGUUUCUACAAGGCAAGGAGGCCCUUUGGUUGAUACUGAGAAAAACCCAUCUUUGGAGAAGGACAAAAGCUCCGUCAGAAUUGCCAAUGCCACAUCAGGGUUUUCUGAAGACAAAUUACGAGGCCUAGCUCCUGGUGGUGAAGGAUGGGAGAAGAAGAUGAAACGUAAGCGUUCUGUUGGAACUAUGCUCAAUAGAGGCAGUGAUGUAGACCGAGAUGUUAAACCAUCAGUUCAACAUAGAUCAAACAGUGAAGUACGUGGACGUUCUAGUGAUGCUAUUCCAUUUAGACAUGGAGCUUCUGCUGGAGCAUCUGGAGGUAGCAAGAUGGAUGGAAGCUCUCAACUGAGUAGUUCUGGCUCACGGUAUCUUCUGAAGACAGAGAUGGAUUCCACCCCUCUUCCAAAUGAAAGACGAGAGCGCCAUGGUGGGCUAGACAAAGAACGGGUUUUGGUGAAAGGAAACAAGGCACAUAUUUCCGAGGAUAUGCAACCAGGAACCUUAAGUCCUGUGACCAAGGGUAAAGCAACCAGAGCACCAAGAACCAGUUCGCUUGUCGGUAUCCACUCAUCAUCUACUUUGCUACGCUCAGCUGGAGGAAUUGAUGAAUGGGAAGAAGCACCUUGCACAAAUAAAGCCUCACCAUUGGGAAGCACCACAAAUCGCAAGCGUCCCAUGGCUGCAACUGCCUCUUCACCUCCUGUUGCUUGGGUGGGUCAACGUCCACAGAAAAUGUCACGGACAAGAAGAGCAAAUGUUGUAUCACCGGUGUCAAAUUUUGAUGAACCCGUAUCUGAAGGAUCACCAGUUGAUGUUGCUGUUAGGCCAGCAUUAGAAACGCCCGGCCUUUUACUUCCGAGGGGUGCAGCUAGCAAUAAUUCACAAGCUGCAUCUAGAAUGGAUAAUGUUACAUCUCCAGCUGGUUUAUCAGAAAGUGAAGGGUCUGUUGCUACUGAACACAGGAAUAAGGAAAAAGUCACAAACAGUGGCGACUUUGAGAAUGAGGGGGCAAAUUCAGCUCAUGUGGCAUCAGACUUAAUUUUCUCGUCCAAGAAAAGCAGGAUUCCGUUGAAAGAAGAACUUGAAGAUGGUAGUAUUCGUCGUCAAGGGAGGAGUGGAAGAGGCACUAUGCAUGUUAAAGGGUGUUCAUCCAUACCAAAAGAGAAGUUGGACAGCACUGAAACGAGGAAGUUGGUAAAGAGCGUAAGACCUGCAUCUGAAAAGAAUGAAAGUAAGUUAGGCCGUCCUCCAACAAAGAAAGGCUCGGACCGCAAAGCAUCAUCUCGUCACCCAGAAAUUCUGAAUUGUGGGUCAAUGGAUACUACAGGUGAAUCUGAAGAUGACCGAGAAGAACUUCUAGCUGCUGCAAAUGCUGCCCGUGGUGCAAUAGUUGGUGCAUAUGCUGGCCCUUUUUGGAAGAAAAUAGAACCCAUGCUUACUUUCAUCAGCUCUGAAGAUUUAUCCUUCUUGAAAAACCAGAUAAUAUUCUUGGAAGAACUUGAGAUGGGCAUGUCUAAUAAGCACGAUGAAGAUAAGUUAAAUGCAUCAGCUAACUACAAUGGGCCACCAUCAAUGGUUGAGCAUUCCUCCCAGGUUCUGCCUCCAUCCAAUUCUUCUUUGUUGCUGGAUCAAGGGGAAGCAAAUGGUGUUGGACCAAGGGAAUCUGUUGACAUUUUGUCUUAUAAUAAUGGCGAGAAUCAUAACAACACAUCUCAAAAGCCACAGGGGCAAGGAAUAUUUGGUGAAAUGGCUCCCCUGACAAGUAGACUGCUCUCUGCCUUGAUUGUAGAAGAUGUUGAUGACUUUCCCGAGUCCAAUGGUGUCCAAGGAGAUAUACUUCUGGAAUUCUCAAAUGACUACCUUCCUCGUGCUGCCUCAGUUGAAUUCGAAGCUACGGGGCUAGAAUCCAGUUUUGGAAUGUCUCCUGAUUUCAAGCAUUCAAACAGUAACCCAGCAUAUAACAGCAUGUCCAAUGGUUUUGCAGUUUCCAGUAAUUUGAGGGGCUCAUAUAGUCAAAGUUCAGUUUGCAGUGAGAAUCUAUCAGAUGGGAUAAAUGUUAUGGGGUACCCAGAAAACGGCUCUCUGCAUGGAUCAGUACCGCAGAUUACACAGCAGUAUCAAACUCCCGGAAAAGAUUUAUCUUUACCAUUAUAUGGAUAUCAGUAUGCGCAGAUGUCUUUGCAUGAUAGGACUUUGGUCGAGUUGCACAGUAUUGACAUUUUUCCAGAGAUGCCAGAGCUGGACGAGGGAGAGGAUGAGGAUAUUAAUAAAGUUAUUUUGGAGCUGCAGAAAAGACUCUUUGAUCAGGUGAAUCAAAAGAAAUGCCAACUAAAUAAGCUAGAAAAAGCAAUUCGAAAUACUAAAAACAUGGAGGAAAGGAGCCUGGAGCAACACGCAAUGAACAAAUUAGUAGAGAGGGCAUACAAAAAAUUGCUGGGUGGUCGAGGUAGUUCUAGUCACAAGGGCGGUCUCAGUAAAGCGGCCAGUAAGGCCGCAAAACAGCUUGCAUUGGCUUUUGCCAAGCGAACACUUGCCCGGUGCCAGAAAUUCGAGGAAACAGAGAAAAGCUGCUUCAGGGAGCCUUUCCUUUGGAGUGUGCUGUCCGCUCCUUUGCCAAAGAGUGACCCAGUUGAUGGUGUCCCUCCAGGAUCUGCAGAUAGGCCAAAGGCCCUAAAGCUUGACAGAAGCCCAUUAAGCCAAGGUAGCACAAAAUUGAAAAAGGGCGAGAGAGAAAGGGACCAGAGCAGAGAUGGGUCUGCCAAGAACUCCAGCUCGAAAUCAGGCAGCGGCCGGAACUCGUCUGGCAGCGGCCGGAACGAGCGCAAGACCAAGAUGAAGCCAAAGCAGAAGCUAGCGCAGCUAUCAACAUCUGGAAACGUCCUUGGCAGAGUCACAGAGCCAUCCAACUCCAGCUUCCCAUCACCGUCGCCACGAGAAUCCAACGAGUGGAACAACCCUCUAAGCACAAGACCUACCCAGCAACCAAGGAACAGUGCGGCCAAUGUUGCUCCGGAGUCCCUGGACGCCCCCAUGAACCUGCCACCGAUGGACCCCAUGGUGGACAUCCUGGACGUGCCGGAGGGCAACGACAUCAGUGCCUGGUUCACGGACGGCCUGGACGACUCGCUGCAAGACUUUGAUUUCUCUGGAGGCCUGGAGAUCCCGGACGACGAUCUCACCCAGCUAGGGUUCAUGUGA